rnacentral:lncRNA from 1 species
AGCGGGCUGCAGGGCUGCGGGCGCUUGGUUCGGCCUGGCCCGGCCGGCGGCUCCUAACACCGGGCGGGCGGCUGCGGCGGCACUUCCGGGUUGGCCUUCUCCAUGUUGGUCUCGGGAACGUGAAGGGGCGGGGCCUCGAGGUCAGGGGUCAGCACCUCCCUGGUUGCCGUGGCGACUGGAGGCGCGCGACGCGGGCGCAAUGGCGGGGACCCGGGGCUUGAUGCUGCUUGGGCCUGGCCCAGUGGCGGGUCCUAGGGACGUGGGUACCUGCAGAGGCCGGCAGAUGGAGAUUCAGAAACAUAAGGACAACAAGAAACUUCCCCAAGGUAUCAUUAUAGUCUUUAGACUUCAGACACACACCACACCUCAAAUAUAUACACAACUGAAAGGAAAAUUAAGGAAGUUUUUCAAAGAACCCUAUUCCGAGUAAGAAGUGUGUUGCAUGAAUUUCUAAGGUCUCUGAAAAGCAACUUAUUCACUGGAGAUGUGAGGAGCCAUCCGCACAUCACAAUUCUAUAGACAUCAAACGCAUGAAGCAUUUCGGAUCUGCUUUAAGACUGAGGCAGACUUUCCAUCUGGACACAGCCGACCAUCCAUGUGUCAUUACAAUGAAUCCAGCACUUCCCUGGAAGCUGGAAGGGUCAAAUUCAACUUCAACUCUGCCACUUCCUGCUUAACUUGCUGUUUAACCUUGGGCAAGCUGCCAUCCCACACGAGGCCGAAGGUGUCGGUUUUUAAAAUACAGAAAUUUGGUUCCAUGAGGGAUUAUCAAUAUACUGCUGGUGGGCCAAAUUCCAUCUGCUACUUGCCUUUGUAAAUAAAGUUUUAUUGAAACACAAACAUGCCCAUUAGUUUACUCUUGUCUGUGACUACAAGGGCAAAGUUGAAUAGUUGUUACAGAGACCAUCAGGCUCACAAAGCCUAGGUUAUUUACUAUCUGCCCAUUUACAGAGUAAGUUUGCCAGCCCUGGACUGGAUAAUUUUUUGAGUUCUUUCUAAUUCUAGAAUUCUUUAUAUAUUUUAUGAAACCCCUAAUGUUUAUAUAUUAAUUAUUUCAAUACCCGUGUCUUUACUGAGUCCCUCCUAUGAAGCAUACAUCAAGACAUAUGUGUGAUACAUUAACUAAACUUUUAACAGUAUCUUAAAUAGGAUUUCAAUGACUAACAGCUCUUGGAAAUAUCCAAGGUAACAUUUGGGGGCAAAUGUCUUAUGAUUUGAUUAUCAUUGGUAAAUAGAGCAUAUCUUUUUUUCCACUAACAAUGUUUAAGAAGUUAAAAAAAAAUCAAGAAAACCCCGUAUGGCACUAGAGACUUAUUGCAUUAAGACAUCAUCUUAACAGAUUGUUUAGUUUUGGUAAUAUAAUUUGACAUCUAAACAUAAGCUGAGAGGGAUCUCCCUCAAAACCUUUGAUAAUAUGAUUCAUUGUCAAAUGUUUGUUUUGCCUAUCUGGCACUCAUUAAUUAAUUCUUUUUAAUAUAGCUUGGAUUUACUGAUUUUGAAAAAGAGAAUUAUUCUUAUUGAUGUUGCUAAAAUAUCCAGGUGGCUUGAAUUUCACCAACUAGAUAGUUUAAUCUAGCACAUUUGUGUAGCCCUAAUCAAAUCUUUACUAACAGAUGUGAGAAGCCCAGUACUGGAGCUAAUGUUUGUGUCUCAAUGAUAAUUAAAUUAGCUUAAUAAGGAAAAUAAAUGAACAAUAAUCACCAAAAUUUUUCCCUAAACCUGUGUUAUAGUCUUAAAAACAUUUUUUCCCCUAUGGAGGCUUUUGGUAAUAAAACACAAAUUGAGGGAUUUUAAUUAAAAGAAAUUUUUUUUUCAAGAACUGGUCAUGUACUAAAUUGCUUAUAAUCAAAUAAUCAAGUAGCAUUUCUUUUAUUAUAAGAGCAAAACCUAUAAUUAAGCCAAAAUUCAAAUUUGUUUUUAAAGGUUGAAUAAUCUUUUGUUUUGGCCAAUAGUAUGUGGAUUUUUUUUUUAAGUAUUAUCUCUUUGUAGUAUUUUCUAAUGGAUAGGAAAUGCCUUUCUCAGGUUGAAUGAUUAUUUCCACAUAGAAUUAGUUCCUGCUUACAACAGUGCUCCACUAAUGUAAUGGCUCGGUGAAUUGGCUUUAUAAUUCAUUAAUCAUAGCUCACAUUGAGCUUUUGGCUCCAGGUGACAGUGCCCACCACAGGCCAAAUAACUUCUCAUUUAAAGGCAAUUUGUACAAAUAGGGAAGGUGAGAAUUCUCACAGUCCCAGAGGGAUUGAAGAGUUUUAAAAAACCAAGAUAAGGCAUUUUAUGGAAGACAGGUUGAUGGAAGAAAAGUGGCCAUUGGAGGAUGAGGCAGAUGGCUUUCCAGGGAGGCCCUGGAGCUGCCACCAUGGGGAAGGCCAUGUUGCAGCUGCUGAUCAGAGCACAUUGGACGGUGUUUCCGUGUGAACAUGAAGACAAUGCUGCCUCUGUUUCUGUGACGCUGUGCUCUGAUCUUGCUGGAGGCGAAGUGGUGUCAGCUGUGCUUACAGGACAGUCAGUGGUGGUAGAAAAGAGGCCAGUGUGACCUGUGAAGGACUGGGCCCCUCUCACUCAACCUGAGUGCCUGCAGUUGUGGCCACCUUUAUUUGUGUAUUCUACUGUAUUUAUUUAUUUGCCUGGCUAAUUAGCUCUGUGCCACAUUCCUAAGCUAGAUGUGUCCCUUCAUGUAAGUGAGAGGGAGACAGAAAGAAAGACUGAGGUGGGGGGUAGGAGAAAGAGAGGAAAGCAAGCAAGAAGAAAGAGAAAGAGAGAAGAAGAAAGGAAGAGGAAAGAAAGAGAGAAAGAGAAAGAGAAGGAAGGAAGGAGAAAGAGAAGGAAAGAAGGAGCCUUCUAAUUUUAUUUCAUUUCUCCAAUAAAUGUUCCUAUAUUAAGACUUUAGACAAAGAUUAGAAAUAUGAUUUGACAGAAAGUGUAUGGAUGUGUUGUUCUAUUGCAUUGUAAGUAAAGUAUCCAUGGCAAUAUACAAAUAAUACAGCUCCUACCCCUAUUCUCUGUUGUUACUUUCAUGUGUUGUCUUAACUUUUUAAAUUUCAAGAUAAUAUUGCGCUUAUUUAUUUUUCCAUGAGGAGGCCUAGGAUUUAGCUUGAUUAGAAAAGCUGUGGAAAAUGAAUGUGCUAAUUACUUUAAAUCAAAUUGAAAAUAAAUUUUAUCCUGUUUCAUGCAAAACAAAAAAAAAAAA